CUGGCGCUCAGGGACCGGAGCCCAGCCCAGCCGGAGGCAGCCGCGGGAAGCAGCCUGACUUCCAGCCGAAGGCGGCACCUGCCACCCCCUCGUCCUCCUGGGAGCGAUGAUCCUCCGCCUGAGGCACCUAACCCCGGGGUACUUCCGCCUGCUGCAGAUGCAGCUGGCUG